rnacentral:rRNA from 1 species
CCCGCUGAACUUAAGCAUAUCAAUAAGCGGAGGAAAAGAAACUAACAAGGAUUCCCCUAGUAACUGCGAGUGAAGCGGGAAAAGCUCAAAUUUAAAAUCUGGUGGCCUUUGGCCAUCCGAGUUGUAAUUUAGAGAAGCGUCUUCCGCGCUGGACCGUGCACAAGUCUCCUGGAAUGGAGCGUCGUAGAGGGUGAGAAUCCCGUCUUUGGCACGGACGCCCAGUGCUUCUGUGAUGCGCUCUCGAAGAGUCGAGUUGUUUGGGAAUGCAGCUCAAAAUGGGUGGUGAACUCCAUCUAAAGCUAAAUAUUGGCGAGAGACCGAUAGCGAACAAGUACCGUGAGGGAAAGAUGAAAAGCACUUUGGAAAGAGAGUUAAACAGUACGUGAAAUUGUUAAAAGGGAAACGAUUGAAGUCAGUCGCGUCUGCUUGGACUCAGCCUUACUUCGGUUUGGUGCAUUUCCUUGUAGACGGGCCAGCGUCAAUGUUAUCCGCUGGAAAAAGGUGUAGGGAAUGUGGCUCUUUCGGGAGUGUUAUAGCCCUAUAUCAUAUGCAGUGGGUGAUAUUGAGUGUAACAGCACGCUUUUGUGGUGCUUGUGUUGGCAUAAUGGCUUUAAACGACCCGUCUUGAAACACGG